GUGGCUCAGUGUGGAAAGAGCCCGGGCUUGGGAGUCGGAGGUGGUGGGUUCGAAUCCCACC
rnacentral:tRNA from 1 species